rnacentral:rRNA from 1 species
CUGCCAGACUCCUACGGGAGGCAGCAGUGGGGAAUAUUGCACAAUGGGGGGAACCCUGAUGCAGCGACGCCGCGUGGGUGAAGGAGUAUUUCGGUCUGUAAGGCCCUAUCAGCAGGGAAGAACAAUGACGGUACCUGACUAAGAAGCACCGGCUAAAUACGUGCCAGCAGCCGCGGUAAUACGUAUGGUGCAAGCGUUAUCCGGAUUUACUGGGUGUAAAGGGAGCGCAGGCGGCGCGUUAAGCCUGGUGUGAAAGCCCGCGGCCCAACCGCGGGACUGCAUUGGGAACUGGCGCGCUGGAGUGCCGGAGGGGUAGGCGGAAUUCCUGGUGUAGCGGUGAAAUGCGUAGAUAUCAGGAGGAACACCGGCGGCGAAGGCGGCCUGCUGGACCGUGACUGACGUUGAGGCUCGAGAGCGUGGGGAGCAAACAGGAUUAGAUACCCCUGUACCU